GAUUUUUAUAGACCAAUUGUUCCAGUUUACAUUCAGCUUUCAGAUGUAGUGUUUGUUUUGUUGUUACUGGGGAAUAACCUAGAGGCAGGAUGAAAGUCCAAAUAAAUGUUAGGACGAUGAAAGGGAGGAGAAGAAGAACUAUAAACAGCUUUUGUACGACAAUGCAGUCUCUCAUUAAGCCUUUCAUCCUAAAGAAAAGAAAUGUUUUCAAGGGAUUUGUUUUCCAUAUUUAUGCCAUAAACUGACACAAAAAUGCAGAGCUAAGCGUGCUCGCUCACACCUCUUACACUGAUACUGCUCUGCUGUCCAAGUCCCACAAAUGACUGACCAAGUGUGAUUGUAAGACGGGCAAAUUUUAGUUUGUUUCCCCAAAUCUCAUUUAACUGGAUAAAUGUAUGCAGUAAGAUCAAUAUAAAUCUGAUAACAGUGAGCUAUUUGCCAAACAUUUUAAACUUAUUUAUAUACAUAUUUUCCCCCCUAUUGUGUGCUUGAAGUUGCUGUGACGGAUAUUUUUGUAAAAAGCAGUUUGAAGAUGUGAAAACAGAAAUGUUUAUAGGUGAAAAAUCACCUGAAUCUGCAGCCGUACUCGACUUAUAAAGUCUUGUGUUUAACCAAUGUUGUUGACUUUGGCCCAGUCUCACUGCCUGCACCAACGUUACCAACUAACUUAAUGCAAAGAUGGGUGACAAAUUAAAGACGAGACCCACACAAAGGGUGAUGGGACCAGUAGACUCAAAACCAGUAGGUCCUGGGUUUGAGUCCAUCAUCUGGCUGGGUUUACAUGUUCUCCCAGAGUACUCGUGUUUCUUCCCACAGUCCGAGCUGAGUCUUUUGUCCACAUACAAAAGGCGUGUCAGCUCCCUGAAAACAGGUUUUAAAAAACCUUCCGGGUAAAUUUUCAUGACUUCAUGUGGAAAACUUUUUUUUUCUUGCAAAUUCAAAGGUGUUGCACCCUUAUCACCUGUUUUUUUUUUUGUUUUUUUUUUUUGUGCUCCAUGUUAUUAUUUGCUCAGGAUGGUUAUUAGCCAACAUUUCCAUACGUUUGUGGUUGUAUUUCCACCUGUGGGGAUGUUGUUAGCAGAUUAUACAACAAUCUUUUAAAGGGUAUGCACUUAAUUUCUGCUCAAGGUCAGCGUGUCAUUUCACGCUCAUCUGUGAGCUACUGUGGCAUGAUGUUUUUAAACGAUGCUCGUGUGGAUGGGAUUUAAAACAAAAAAACGGAAAGUUCCUGGUUUAAAAAAGUAUCCGAGUACCUCUGGACAUAGCAAUAGCGCACAUCUGUGAAAACACUUGUUUCUGCACUUUAUUUAGGUUUUUUUCCUUUAAUUUGUCACUUGUAGCAGCUAACAGGUAAAAGAAAGCAUGUCAUGGGUUUAUAUUUGCAAGGUGGUUCUAAAUCCAGCUGAGAAUGUGCUUGAUGAUUAAAAGUUAUUUGGUAAUGAGUUUAAAUUAAAAUGAUCUUUUUUACUUUUUUGUCCUUUUUUUGGUCAAACCUAUGAGCUGUAGCAGGUUUCAGCCACACUGUCUUGUACUCUAUAUGAAAUUAUUCAAACAGAAAUGCUUAAUAAAGCAGAAACUAUUUGGUAAGAUUGAAUUAUUAGCCAUUUGUCUCAUUGCAACAAAGCAAAUGUUGAUGUUGUUUUAAAGAUUUCUUUAUUUUCUUGUUAUUUAUUUUAAGUUUUAUUAAACCAAGAAAACCUUACUGAAAAGUUCUCAAACAUGGCCCUGUGUAUCCGAGAGGAGAGUUUACAGCCUCUGGAGGUUACUAACGUUUGAAAUGAUGUCAUGAUUUGUCCUCUACGCAGGUCCACGGUCGACGGUAGCUUCAUCUUUCCUUUGCCUUAAUCGCUAAAGCUUUGAAUGUACCAUCCCGUGCAUUCCUCCUCUACAUGUACCAUUUUAAGCCUUUUUUACUUUCCUCUUGUUGCAGAUAUCAUUUCACUAAUUUUUCAAAAUGUUAGUGUAGCUGUGAAGCCUUUCGUUUGUUUGUUUAAUCUUUGUAACUGUUGUGAGAUCAAAAUCCAGCUGUUGGGUUGGUUUCACGAACACUGCCUGACUUAUUUUGGACGACCUUGUAUAAAGCUGUGUGACAUGUACGCCGUUCAUACUGAUUCUGUUUGGGUCAAAUAAGAAUUUAAGUUUCUAAAUGCUGGAUUGUGCUUUUCGUGAACGAAGGAGGUUAAAAAAAAAAAGGAAAAAAGACACAUCCCAGUAAUAUUUGACCUGCCUUUGUGAAGUCGAAUCAUUUCAAGUGGAAAUUUGCAUUUUGUGUGUGUGUGUGUUUUAAACAAGAAGCCAAUAAUUUGUGAGAUUAUGGUCGAGUUUAAAAUAAAAAUGUUGAUCUUGCCGUUUU
ensembl:lncRNA